AUGGGGGCAACCCUGAUCCAGCAAUGCCGCGUGAGUGAUGAAGGCCUUCGGGUUGUAAAGCUCUUUUGCCAGGGACGAUGAUGACGGUACCUGGAGAAUAAGCCCCGGCUAACUUCGUGCCAGCAGCCGCGGUAAUACGAAGGGGGCUAGCGUUGUUCGGAAUUACAAGGCGUAAAGGGCGCGUAGGCGGCUUCUUUAGUCAGGCGUGAAAGCCCCGGGCUUAACCUGGGAAUUGCGCUUGAUACUGGGAGGCUUGAGGACCGGAGAGGAUAGUGGAAUUCCCAGUGUAGAGGUGAAAUUCGUAGAUAUUGGGAAGAACACCAGUGGCGAAGGCGGCUAUCUGGACGGUUACUGACGCUGCGGCGCGAAAGCGUGGGGAGCAAACAGGAUUAGAUACCCUGGUAGUCCACGCCGUAAACGAUGAGUGCUAGACGUCGGGGUUCUUAGAACUUCGGUGUCGCAGCUAACGCAUUAAGCACUCCGCCUGGGGAGUACGGUCGCAAGAUUAAAACUCAAAGGAAUUGACGGGG
rnacentral:rRNA from 1 species